rnacentral:tRNA from 1 species
GAUGUAGCUCAGUGGUAGAGUGCUUGCCUAGCAUGUGUGAGGCUCUGGGUUCUAUCCCCAAUGCA